rnacentral:rRNA from 1 species
UACGAAGGGGGCUAGCGUUGUUCGGAAUUACUGGGCGUAAAGGGCGCGUAGGCGGUCCUGAUCGUCGGAUGUGAAAGGCCUGGGCUCAACCUGGGAAUGGCAUCCGAUACGGCGGGACUGGAGUGUGGGAGAGGUUGGUGGAAUUCCCAGUGUAGAGGUGAAAUUCGUAGAUAUUGGGAAGAACACCGGCGGCGAAGGCGGCCAACUGGACCACAACUGACGCUGAGGCGCGAAAGCGUGGGGAGCAAACAGG